UACGGAGGGGGCUAGCGUUGUUCGGAAUUACUGGGCGUAAAGCGUGCGCAGGCGGUUUUGCAAGCCGGAUGUGAAAUCCCCGGGCUCAACCUGGGAAUGGCAUUCGGGACUGCAAGGCUGGAGUGCGGCAGAGGAGACUGGAAUUCCUGGUGUAGCAGUGAAAUGCGUAGAUAUCAGGAGGAAUACCGAUGGCGAAGGCAGGUCUCUGGGCUGACACUGACGCUCAUGCACGAAAGCGUGGGGAGCAAACAGG
rnacentral:rRNA from 1 species